GUGAGCCAUGAGCAGGUGACUGAAGCAACACAAAGUGUCGCCAAACCCCAGUAAGGUCUAUAUUCUAGGGGUGGAGCACUAGAGCCGCGAGUGGGAGUCUAGAGAGCAGAAAACAAAGUAUCCCUGAAAAAAAUAAUGAUUUCUAGCUUCGAAAAAACGUUUUUUAAGUUGCAGGCUUUCUGGCAUCCUUGUGUAGAAAAGUAGGACAAAAGUAGGACUAGAAUUUUAGGAAAAGUAGGAAUAAAG